AUGGCGGCAAAGAAACAACUCUUUCGCUUUGGGUCUUUCGCGAUAAAGGACGGGUCGGAGAUUCGUUUCUGGGAAGACAUCUGGCUAGGCAAUGCCAGUCUCCGAGAACAAUAUCCAGCCUUGUACAACAUUGCUCGCGAUAAGAACAAUACUAUUGCGCAGGUGCUAAGCUCAUCCCCGCCGAAUAUUUCGUUCAGGCAGGAUUUGGUUGGCGCCCGACUUAUGUCAUGGCAUAAUCUCUUAUCCCGUCUGGAUUUGAUUAACCUGACACAAGGCCGUGAUGUGUUUCGCUGGAACCUUACUACAUCGGGGUCUUUCACGGUAGACUCUAUGUAUCAUGCGCUCACGCAUUCUGAGGUACCGGAGAGCAAUAACAAGAAAAUCUGGAAGGCAAAGAUUCCACUAAAAGUUAAAAUAUUCAUGUGGUAUCUUUGUAGAGGUGUUGUGCUAACCAAAGACAACCUUGUUGGGGAACGUAGCAGAAAUUCAAAAUUUUCUACGCAUCACCAAGAUCAAUCUAUGGAGUUUACUAGCAACGAAGGGAAGGGGAGUGCAUCUACAUACCCUUGUAGAUCGCGAUGCGGAAGCGUUGCAAGAACGCGGAUGAGGGAGUCGUACUCGUAG
rnacentral:rRNA from 1 species